AAGGAGUCUAACAUCUGUGCGAGUGUUUGGGUGUCAAGCCCGAGCGCGCAAUGAAAGUGAACGGAGGUGGGAACCCUUUGGGUGCACCAUCGACCGAUCCUGAUGUCUUCGGAUGGAUUUGAGUAAGAGCAUAGCUGUUGGGACCCGAAAGAUGGUGAACUAUGCUUGAAUAGGGUGAAGCCAGGGGAAACUCUGGUGGAGGCUCGCAGCGGUUCUGACGUGCAAAUCGAUCGUCAAAUUUGGGCAUAGGGGCGAAAGACUAAUCGAACCAUCUAGUAGCUGGUUCCUGC
rnacentral:misc_RNA from 1 species